ACCUUGUAGGAUUGGACCUUCCAUAUAGUAUACCACCAUAUAACAAAAAUAAACAUAAAAUAAUAACAAAUAAUAUCCAAAAACAAUAUCCAAAAACAUAAUGCAAUAUAAAUAAAUAAAUAAAAACCGAAACGAUACAAUGGCGGAAGGUGAAAGCAACAGAGGAGGCAAGUGAAAAAAGUAUACUGGUAUAAAAGCUUCGUCAUAUAAAGCGCCUGGUCUUUCUCUCUUCUCUCACUUCAUGAUUUUAUCUCUUCAAUGUUGAUGCUGUUACAAUGUGAAGCACAGGGAGGCUUUUGGAUAAAAGCUUUCUUUAUCUUCUUCAUCCCAUAAAAUUCCAUUUUUAUUAAAAAAAAAAAAGAAGAAAGGAAAACUUAUACGCCCCCAAAAUUUCAAUUUGUCAUUUUCUUUAAGAAAACCAAAAAAAGAAAAAAUAUCAUAAAAAAGAAUCCAUAAACCCUCCUCCUACCGUCAUUCAUUUCAUCUUUCUAAAGCCCCUACAGAUUUCGAUUCGAAUCUCAUUUUUAUAUAUUUUUUUGCCCUCAGCUGCAACGUUUUCCAGGAUUCUGGAGAAUUGGUUUUUUGUUUCCCUUUAUAUAGUUGUUCUAGAAAUCAAAGCUUUGUUACUUUUUUUUUCUUUUUUUCCGAAGGAAGAUGUCGAUUUUGCCGAAAAGUGAAUCAAUUCACAUAAGGGAAGUUUGGGACGAGAAUUUGAAUUGUGAAUUCGAGUUAAUUCGAGAUAUUGUGGAUGAUUACCCCUUCAUUGCUAUGGACACUGAGUUCCCGGGCAUUGUUCUACGCCCAAUAGGCAAUUUCAAGAGCAGUUUUGAUUACAAUUACCAAACCUUGAAAGCAAAUGUUGAUCUUUUGAAACUGAUUCAGUUGGGUCUUACUUUCUCUGAUGCCAAAGGGAAUUUGCCUACUUGUGGAACUGAUAAAUACUGUGUUUGGCAAUUCAAUUUCCGCGAAUUCGAUCCUAAUGAGGAUGUCUAUGCUAAUGACUCCAUUGAGCUUUUGUCUCAAAGUGGCAUUGAUUUUCAGAAGAACAAAGAAAAGGGCAUUAGUUCUCAUGACUUCAGUGAAUUGUUAAUGUCAUCUGGGAUUGUUUUGAAUGAUAAUGUGCAUUGGGUGACUUUUCAUAGCGGCUACGAUUUUGGGUAUUUGCUUAAGUUGCUCACUUGCAAGAAUCUUCCUGAAACACAGACAGGGUUCUUUAGUUUGAUUAAGAUUUAUUUCCCGACUCUAUAUGAUAUCAAGCAUCUGAUGAAGUUUUGCAAUAGCCUACAUGGUGGGUUGAACAAGCUUGCAGAGCUGUUAGAAGUGGAGAGGAUUGGUAUUUGUCACCAAGCUGGUUCAGAUAGUUUGCUUACUUGUUGUACAUUCAUGAAACUGAAAGAAAAUUUCUUUAGUGGUUUGGCCGAGAAAUAUGCUGGUGUGUUAUAUGGUCUUGGUGUUGAGAAUGGACAGAAUACUCUCUAAUAAAUCAAAGAAAACUUCUUUAGUUGGUCGACUGAGAUAUGCUGGUUUGUUAUAUGGUCUUGGUCGUUCAGAAUUGACAGAAUACUUCUUAAAUAUCAAAGAAUUAUGAAAUAAAAGCUGUUUGUUAGAUUUUGUGUUCCAUUUGCAAUCUACUUAUAAUAUCUCGUAUCUUAUCAUCAGCCUGUUUUACACAUCUUACUGCACGGAUAUCAUUGAUCAUUUCAUUGAACUGUUAUACUUGCUUUGCGCUUGUUGGUUAUCAAAGAAUGUUAAAUGCAUAUGAGUGGAGGGAGAGGGUGGAGGGAUGGUAAUAGAAAUGUUUCACAAUGGCCAGCCAAAGGAUGAGGCCCUUUUCCCCCUGGAGAUUUUCAGUAUAAAAUUGUAAGCAUGCUUUCCAAAAUCAUGAUAAUAAAUAGAUAGAGAGAUAAUUUUCAUGGUAGUUUUGAACUAUUGAUAUGUUUUUGUUUCACUCCUACUAAGCUUUAAUCAAACCUCUGACAUUUUAGCAAGUUUCAUUCCUUUCAUUGUAAAUAUUUCGAAGUGUCUCAGUUCAACAGCCACAAUUCAGUGUUGCCAAGGAGCCAUUGUAAGAUUUGAUUCCACAACAUUGCCAUUUGCAGAGCAGAAGCUGUAUCAGGAUUGUAGAAUGCAGACUGAGGUCUAUCAUCUGAAUUCUCCACAGCAGAAUGGUAAUGAUUCUUCCAAGAGAUGGAGUUUACCUCCCCCAGGAUGGGUCAAACUCAACACAGACGGAGCGGUUGCCUUGAACCAUUCUUGGGCAGCAGCUGGUGGGGUUGCUAAGAGACGACCAUGGAAAUUGGCUACUUGGAUAUAGUAGAAUGUUUGUUCAGGUUCUGUUUUGCAAACUGAGUUGCUGGCGGUAUGAGAUGGUUUAAAACUAGCUUGGCAGCGAGGAUACAAGAAGAUCAUCAUUGUCAGAGUGACUCUGAGAUGGUGGUGCAGCUUAUAUCGGAUAGCUCAAUGGAUCCUCACUCGAUUACUCUUGUUCGCAAUAUUCAAGAACUUCAUCAGUGCAGGUGAGAAGUUAAAUUCGCGAAGAUUUCGAGAGAUGCAAAUAGAGUAGUUGAUUUUAUUGCUAAGCUUCAUAUUAGAAGGGACACUGCAGUGCAUUGCUUUGAGAGGCCGAUUCCUAGUGUCUGUUACUUAAUAAUGAUGUUUUGCUUGCUUAAUAAGACUAUCAAAAUAAGGUUUACUAAAUGUUAUAAAAUUAUUUAAACCCUCUCUCACACACAAAUCAGGAUUAUAACUUUUUGGUUGACAAAGAACGAAAUAAACCAAGUGUACAUAGAGCUAAUAAUUCUGGUUAAAUUCUAUUAUUAGUCCUUUUUCUUUUAA